rnacentral:rRNA from 1 species
GACGAACGCUGGCGGCGUGCCUAAUACAUGCAAGUAGAACGCUGAAGGAGGAGCUUGCUUCUCCGGAUGAGUUGCGAACGGGUGAGUAACGCGUAGGUAACCUGCCUGGUAGCGGGGGAUAACUAUUGGAAACGAUAGCUAAUACCGCAUAACAGUAGAUGUUGCAUGACAUUUGCUUAAAAGGUGCAAUUGCAUCACUACCAGAUGGACCUGCGUUGUAUUAGCUAGUUGGUGAGGUAACGGCUCACCAAGGCGACGAUACUUAGCCGACCUGGGAGGGUGAUCGGCCACACUGGGACUGGGACACGGCCCAGACUCCUACGGGAGGCAGCAGUAGGGAAUCUUCGGCAAUGGACGGAAGUCUGACCGAGCAACGCCGCGUGAGUGAAGAAGGUUUUCGGAUCGUAAAGCUCUGUUGUAAGGGAAGAACGAGUGUGAGAGUGGAAAGUUCACACUGUGACGGUAUCUUACCAGAAAGGGACGGCUAACUACGUG